AGUAAAAGUCGUAACAAGGUUUCCGUAGGUGAACCUGCGGAAGGAUCAUUACCGAGUGAGGGCCCUCUGGGUCCAACCUCCCACCCGUGUUUAUUUUACCUUGUUGCUUCGGCGGGCCCGCCUUUACUGGCCGCCGGGGGGCUCACGCUCCCGGGCCCGCGCCCGCCGAAGACACCCCCGAACUCUGUCUGAAGAUUGCAGUCUGAGUGAAAACGAAAUUAUUUAAAACUUUCAACAACGGAUCUCUUGGUUCCGGCAUCGAUGAAGAACGCAGCGAAAUGCGAUACGUAAUGUGAAUUGCAAAUUCAGUGAAUCAUCGAGUCUUUGAACGCACGUUGCGCCCCCUGGUAUUCCGGGGGGCAUGCCUGUCCGAGCGUCAUUGCUGCCCUCAAGCCCGGCUUGUGUGUUGGGCCCCGUCCCCCGAUCCCGGGGGACGGGCCCGAAAGGCAGCGGCGGCACCGCGUCCGGUCCUCGAGCGUAUGGGGCUUUGUCACCCGCUCCGUAGGCCCGGCCGGCGCCUGCCGAUCAACCCCAAAUUUUUAAUCCAGGUUGACCUCGGAUCAGGUAGGGAUACCCGCUGAACUUAAGCAUAUCAAUAAGCGGAGGAAAAGAAACCAACAGGGAUUGCCCUAGUAACG
rnacentral:rRNA from 1 species